rnacentral:rRNA from 1 species
ACAUGCAAGUCGAACGAGCGAGAGGGAGCUUGCUUUCUCGAGCGAGUGGCGAACGGGUGAGUAACGCGUGAGGAACCUGCCGAUAACUCCGGGAUAGCCUUUCGAAAGAAAGAUUAAUACCGGAUGGCAUACGAAUAUCGCAUGAUAUUUUAUUAAAGAAUUUCGGUUAUCGAUGGGGAUGCGUUCCAUUAGUUUGUUGGCGGGGUAACGGCCCACCAAGACAACGAUGGAUAGGGGUUCUGAGAGGAAGGUCCCCACAUUGGAACUGAGACACGGUCCAAACUCC